CAGCACCUCAAGUGGUCAGGAUGAUUAUUGGGCCUAAAGCAUCCGUAGCCGGCUCUGUAAGUUUUCGGUUAAAUCUGUAUGCUCAACAUACAGGCUGCCGGGAAUACUGCAGAGCUAGGGAGUGGGAGAGGUAGACGGUACUCGGUAGGAAGGGGUAAAAUCCUUUGAUCUAUUGAUGGCCACCUGUGGCGAAGGCGGUCUACCAGAACACGUCCGACGGUGAGGGAUGAAAGCUGGGGGAGCAAACCGGAUUAGAUACCCGAGUAGUCC
rnacentral:rRNA from 1 species